rnacentral:lncRNA from 1 species
GGAAGUAGCCGCAGCUGCCACGUGACUCCCGGUGAGGACGCGAUGGCGAGCGACGCGUAAACAAACCCACUAUGGACGAUGGGAACGCGGCGGCGGCGGCGGCGGCGGGUAACAACGUCAGCUCUCGCUGCUCGUUCGUCGGCGCGGACCCCGGCGACGUCCGAUGCGCGCUGAUCUUGAUGGUGAAAAGGGCCACGGGGACGUUCUCCGUGAUCGGAUGCCUGUUUAUGCUGUUUGUUAUCUGGCUGUUGCGCAGAUAUAACUCCCUGGCACAGAAGAUGAUUGCCAGCCUGACGGUGGCAGCGUUCUUUGACAGUGUUGCGUAUGUCAUGGGAGACUCUCAUCCAGAAGGAACCCUGUGUAGUUUCCAAGCCUGGUGGCUGACAUAUUUUGACUGGAGCGCCCUGGCCUGGGUGUGUCUGAUCACACUGAACCUCUACCUCAACCUGGUCCGAGAGAUCAGAACCGAGAGCUAUGAGACACUCUACCAUUUCCUGGCAUGGGGGGUUCCUUUGAUCAUGUCGUGCCUCCCCCUCUUCCUGGGCUACUAUGGUCCGGCUGGAGCAUGGUGCUGGAUCACAGAUAACCGUGUGGCCUGGAGAUUCGGAAUUUGGUACAUUCCGCUCUUCACCCUCAUCUUCCUCAUGAUCUGCUGCUACGCCCGCAUCAUCUGUGUGGCCAAUCGGAGGAUGCAGUCCUGGUUCGGCACCUUCAACCCUGAGAGGGAAAGAAGAAAGGUAGCUCUGAUCGAGGAGGUCGGUCCUCUGAAAUGGUAUCCAUCCGUGUAUCUGCUGGUGUCCCUCUUCCCACUUAUAAACCGCCUGCAUAACGCAGUUUACCCAGGUUCUCCCGUCUUCUCCCUGACUCUUCUGCACGUGCUCAGUGCACCGCUGCAUGGCCUGGCCAACGCGUGUGUGUUCAGCUUGGAUGCCUGGAGCCAGCUCAGGACAACGGGGCUGAAGCUGGCUCUCACUUCUCGGUUUUGUGACCACACCCGAAUCGGGGAGUACCACCCCGCCAACGUACGCUACACACACGACUUGGACACACACUCUGAGUCGGACGAAGAAGACAGCAACAUCCUGUUCUAUAGCCCCAACAUGACCCUGAAGGACAGGGGACCCUGA